UCCUCCAUAGCUCAGUGGUUAGAGCAUCCAACCAGUACCUGGAAGGUCAUGGCUUCGACUCCCGUUGAGGGAC